CAUCGCUUGACGGAGCGCGAGUAAUCACUCGCUGAGAUUAUCCAAAAGUAAUGAAUACUUUUGAGGAUGAGUACCGUUGAACCUGAUCAGGUUAAAACCUGCGUAGGAAUCAAGCCAUCUAAAAAC
rnacentral:ncRNA from 1 species